rnacentral:tRNA from 1 species
GCCUGGCUAGCUCAGUCGGUAGAGCAUGAGACUCUUAAUCUCAGGGUCGUGGGUUAGAGCCCCCUGUUGGGCG